rnacentral:misc_RNA from 1 species
UUAUUAUUAUUAUUAUUAUUUAAUGCUUAAUUGCCUAUCCAUGUGAAUUGGGCUUAUAAGGGUUCAUGAAAUUUGAUAUCUGUGGUUGAUUUUUGGUCAAUAGUAUAUUCUUAAGGCUGGUCAUCAUUAAAUGUAAUCUAGCUAGAUCUAAUCAUACACCAUUGGUCUUAUUUUCUUGACACAUAAGUUCUUUUCUGCAUUAUUUUGAUUUGCAAAGUAUGCAGAAAAUCAUUUUUAGUUUCAAGUUUGAGAAACUGGAGCUAGAUGUUUUACUAGUUUUUUGGGUAUGAUAUAUCCUGGAAAGACUAUUGCUUCUUUGCUUUUCAGGGAAUUUGAGAUCCAAGAUUCUGAAUAUGAGUAGUACAAUCAUUUAUAAAUUUUUGGGCUUAUAAAAGAGGAAAAGAAAAUAUGAUUCAGCUGAAUCUUAGAGAAUAGGAUUGAAAUUAAACCCUUUGUAAGUACUUGAACUUAUAGUUCGUUCUAGAUACAAAGGUUUAUUCACAUUAAUUCAUCUAUUCCAUCUAUGAGGCUCCCAACCGAAGAAAACCUACACAUUCAUUUGAUUAUUAUAAAAUAAAAUAUUAAAUCCAAAUAUCUCCAUUUCAAAAUUUUUCUCCUUUUUUUCAAAUAAACUAUAAAUUAAUUUAUUCUUUCACAUAUUGUUGCUUUUCAAUAUUUUUUUAACCAGAGGUAGUGGUCAAAAUUAAUGACAGUUUCAUGUCUGCUUGUUAUUGUAGUGAAUUGUACCGUUAUGUUGGAGACCACCAUUGAUAAGUAUUACAAGAAAAAUGCUUUCCGAAGUUCGCAAACCAUGCAAAUAAUCUAAUAUCAAGUAAACUGAAUUUAAGAUUUAUACUAUACUGUCUUAUUUGCUUUUGUUCAAAAGUUAAAAUAUUUUUCCGUGUAUGCCCCGAGGCAACUUCUGGGUUUGUUUUUCCAUAUCUCUACCUUGCAUGGCUCUGAUACUUGGACUCUUCCAUUUACUGUGCCAUACCUGCGUGGACACAACACAACACAGGAUGUGUGUCUGACACACAUGCGUCAAGUUGGACACACAGGGACAAGAUGAUUUGAGUCAUGACCCAUCCCAAACCCUGACAAGGCAGACUAA